rnacentral:rRNA from 1 species
CGGGGUGAGUAACGCGUGGAUAACCUGCCUCACACUGGGGGAUAACAGUUAGAAAUGACUGCUAAUACCGCAUAAGCGCACAGUACCGCAUGGUACAGUGUGAAAAACUCCGGUGGUGUGAGAUGGAUCCGCGUCUGAUUAGCCAGUUGGCGGGGUAACGGCCCACCAAAGCGACGAUCAGUAGCCGACCUGAGAGGGUGACCGGCCACAUCGGGACUGAGACACGGCCCAA